rnacentral:rRNA from 1 species
GGACUACCCGGGUAUCUAAUCCUGUUUGCUCCCCACGCUUUCGCGCCUCAGCGUCAGUCUCGGUCCAGAGCGCCGCCUUCGCCACCGGUGUUCUUCCCAAUAUCUACGAAUUUCACCUCUACACUGGGAAUUCCACGCUCCUCUCCCGAACUCCAGCACCCCAGUCUCGCGCGCACCUCCCGGGUUGAGCCCGGGGCUUUCACACGCAACUUGGGCCGCCGCCUACGCGCCCUUUACGCCCAGUAAAUCCGAACAACGCUCGCCCCCUUCGUAUUACCGCGGCUGCUGGCAC